rnacentral:tRNA from 1 species
GGUCGUAUGCCCGAGUGGCCAGGGAUCCGCCUGCAAAGCGGAGUACGUCCGUUCGAAUCGGACUACGGCCUCGA